rnacentral:rRNA from 1 species
GACGAACGCUGGCGGCGUGCUUAACACAUGCAAGUUGAACGGUGAAGCGCCUUCCUUUUUGGUGGGUGUGGAUGAGUGGCGAACGGGUGAGUAACACGUGAGUAGCCUGCCCCCUUCUUCUGGAUAACCGCAUGAAAGUGUGGCUAAUACGGGAUAUUCUGGGUCUGUCGCAUGAUGGGUCUGGGAAAGAUAUUGUUUCGGUGGGGGAUGGGCUCGCGGCCUAUCAGCUUGUUGGUGGGGUGAUGGCCUACCAAGGCGGUGACGGGUAGCCGGCCUGAGAGGGUGGACGGUCACACUGGGACUGAGACACGGCCCAGACUCCUACGGGAGGCAGCAGUGGGGAAUAUUGCACAAUGGGCGCAAGCCUGAUGCAGCGACGCCGCGUGAGGGAUGGAGGCCUUCGGGUUGUGAACCUCUUUCGCCAGUGAAGCAGGCCUGCCUCGUUUGUGGGUGGGUUGACGGUAGCUGGAUAAGAAGCGCCGGCUAACUACGUG